rnacentral:rRNA from 1 species
UGGGGAAUUUUGCACAAUGGGGGAAACCCUGAUGCAGCGACGCCGCGUGAUUUAGAAGGCCUUCGGGUUGUAAAAAUCUUUUCUAUGGGAAGAAAAUGACAGUACCAUAGGAAUAAGGACCGGCUAAUUACGUGCCAGCAGCCGCGGUAAUACGUAAGGUCCGAGCGUUGUCCGGAAGCAUUGGGCGUAAAGGGUACGUAGGCGGGUAAGAAAGUUAGAAGGGAAAUCCUGUAGCUCAACUACAGUAAGCUUUUAAAACUGCUCAUCUGGAGAUAUGGAAGGGAAAGUGGAAUUCCUAGUGUAGCGGUGAAAUGCGCAGAUAUUAGGAGGAAUACCGGUGGCGAAGGCGACUUUCUGGCCAUAAUCUGACGCUGAGGUACGAAAGCGUGGGUAGCAAACAGG